CACAAAGCCGGGGAUGAGAAGUGCAGGCCCACUGUUGCUAUAAGCACAGAUCAGAGCCGUGUGGUGCCAUCUAAAGUUUCCAGGUUCUUGGGUCUCCAGACAAAGAUUGUACCAGGGGCACCUAGUUAGUGACAGAAACAAAGACAGUUCAUUUUACGUAAGAGAAAGACAAUCUUGAGGAUGGGUGUAGACCAGUGCUCAGGAGAGACACGUGGUACAUCUUUAUAGAUAGAGUCACUUACCAUGUAUCUUCCCUCCCACUCAGGAGCACAGCCUUUCAUAGAACAUCUCUGCUUGCUGCAUGAAGCCAGGUGGGUAAGGCUCCUGGUGUUUGUUUUUCAGUUUGGUUUGGUUUGGUUUGGUUUGGUUUGGUUUGGUUUGGUUUGGUUUUUCCCUAUGUAUGUUAAUCUUGCUACCUCCCCUGCAUCACAGAGUUAACACAACAGUGAAGCAGCUCACAUGGCUUCAGAUGGGCAUCUCCUCACUGUGAAGGGCUGGUGGGUCCUCAGAUACUUCUGGUAUUGCACCUAAACUACAGCUGCCUGUCCCUUACCUCUGUUCUGUUUCAUUAUUUAGGGUGUAUUUAGCUGUCAACAUUGGAAAUCCUGAGCAACAGAGGAAUAAUCGUAAGGAAUUUAGAGGUCACUUAACAACAGCAACAAAACAAAACAAACAACAACAACAACAAAAACGUGGAAUGUUGAAAUGUCUCAAUGGAUAAAGAUGGUUCCACCAAGCCUGACUCUUUGAGUUCAAUCCCCAGGACAUACAAAACAGAAAGACCAACUCCUGCAAGUUACACUCUCACCUCCACACACAUAUACCAUGGCGUACCAUACACACACACACACACACACACACACACACACACACACACACAAAUAAACACGCAAAAAGGUGUAAGUUUUUAAAAUUCUGCCAUAAGGAGUCUUGGGUUAUCGGAACCCUGCUUCUUUGAUUCUCACGUUUGUUCUUGUUCACAGGAUGACUGCCUUGAUGCAAGGUUUCACCUGCUCACAUGACUUUAUACAAAUAAAUGAAGGAAGAGACCAUCUGGCCUUUUCUUUAGAUCAGUGGUUCUCAAACUUCCUAACGCUGUGACCCUUUAAUACAGUUCCCCAU
rnacentral:lncRNA from 1 species